AUAAAGCCUGUAGAAGUUUCAGUUAGUAAAAAAGAAAUCGCGGAAUCUUCAAAAUUGUCAAAUGGCAGAUGCUCCCAAAUUCCACCACUUACUACAGAAUUCUAGUUCUAUCUUGAGAAUGCACGGCCUUUUUCCACUUCUACUGUAGAGAUAACACGUACAAAGUAUGUCUCAAAUGUUUUAGCAAAAAUACUUUUGUGCCUCCCCCUCCUACCCCCUCUUGGGAAGGUAAGAGGGUAGGACAUACAUAAAUUCUUCAGAUAUGCUUAUUGUAGCCAGGUUUUGAUAUUAAAUUGCUCUAAUGUUAGUUGGUCAAUCAGAUUUAUUUGCCUUUAACUAUUGAUACAAAGCAAGCCAUAUAUAGUAGUAUAAUACACACACACACACACACACACAGACAUAUAUACACAGCUGUGUUUAUUUCAUGGCUUACUGAUGAAGUCCUUGAAAACUGGUUAGAAUCCUGAUUCUGCUAUUUACUAGCUAAGUGUCAUGGAUUAGUUAGUUAAAGUCUCUAAACCUGUUUCUGUAGCUCUCCCAUGAGAAUAAUAACAGCACCUACCUCACAGGAUUAAGGAGUGAAUAAUAAAACGCACAUAAAGCUUUGGGUAUGUGCAUGGUGUAAACACUCAGAUAUUAGUUCAAAUCAGUGAAUGCUAUAGCACACUUAAAUGACAUAUUACCAUUAUAUUAAAAUGAUGCACUAUUUCAUGUAAUGGCUUUAUUUAGAUUAUAUUUUACUGGUAUUAAGUUAUCUUUUAGAACUUUACUGUGGUUAAUUUGAAAAGUUAAAAAUACAGAGUAAAAUCUGUAUGAGUUCAGCUAUUUGGAACUGCUAUGUAUUCAGUACAAUAACAAAAUUAACAAAUUAACCACUGUAGAAUUCUAAUUCAAGAUAUUUUUACCCAAAUAAACCAAUACUCUCUUUUAAAAAUUUCCAUCCUAAUAGAAGUACUGAGCUUAGAUAGACAAAAUCUUACCUCUAAAUCUUCUUCUUCAUCAAUCUUUUGUAUAUUUUGGUAGGCAGCAGUGUAGACCUCCAAAGCUUUGCCAUGAAACAGCAUUUCAAUAGUGAUAAAUUCUGAAAAUAUAGUCUAAAAAAACAAAGAUUUGAAUUUAAACAAUCAUAAAAAUUGCAUUGUGAAUGUACUGAAGUUAUUCCUUACUAUAUAGUUUAGCCAUUUUAUGGAAUACAGAGGUAUUUUUU